rnacentral:rRNA from 1 species
UCUCCUGGAAACGGGUGGUAAUGCCGGAUGUUCCACAUGAGCGCAUGCGAGUGUGGGAAAGGCUUUUUGCGGCAUGGGAUGGGGUCGCGUCCUAUCAGCUUGUUGGUGGGGUAACGGCCUACCAAGGCGUUGACGGGUAGCCGGCCUGAGAGGGCGACCGGCCACAUUGGGACUGAGAUACGGCCCAGACUCCUACGGGAGGCAGCAGUGGGGAAUAUUGCACAAUGGGCGCAAGCCUGAUGCAGCGACGCCGCGUGCGGGAUGGAGGCCUUCGGGUUGUAAACCGCUUUUGUUCAAGGGCAAGGCACGGUUUCGGCCGUGUUGAGUGGAUUGUUCGAAUAAGCACCGGCUAACUACGUGCCAGCAGCCGCGGUAAUACGUAGGGUGCAAGCGUUAUCCGGAUUUAUUGGGCGUAAAGGGCUCGUAGGCGGUUCGUCGCGUCCGGUGUGAAAGUCCAUCGCUUAACGGUGGAUCCGCGCCGGGUACGGGCGGGCUUGAGUGCGGUAGGGGAGACUGGAAUUCCCGGUGUAACGGUGGAAUGUGUAGAUAUCGGGUAAGAACACCA